UACGAAGGGGGCUAGCGUUGCUCGGAAUUACUGGGCGUAAAGCGCACGUAGGCGGAUCUUUAAGUCAGGGGUGAAAUCCUGGAGCUCAACUCCAGAACUGCCUUUGAUACUGAGGGUCUUGAGUUCGGGAGAGGUGAGUGGAACUGCGAGUGUAGAGGUGAAAUGCGCAGAUAUCGGGAGGAACACCAAUGGCGAAGGCAGCUCGCUGGGACGGUACUGACGCUGAGACGCGAAAGCGUGGGGAGCAACAGGG
rnacentral:rRNA from 1 species